GUUAAAAAGCUCGUAGUUGGAUUUCUGUUGAGGGCGGCCGGUCCGCACUACGUGCGUGUAUCUGGUCUGGCCUCGGCAUCCUCUCGGAAAACACUACUGUGCUUGAUUGCAUGGUGUGGGGUUCGGGACUUUUACUUUGAGGAAAUUAGAGUGUUCACGGCAGGCAAUCGCCCUGAAUAUAUCAGCAUGGAAUAAUAAUAUAGGAUUUGAUGCCUAUUUUGUUGGUUUCUAGGUGUUAGAUAAUGAUUAAUAGGGACAGUCGGGGGCAUUUGUAUUCAAACGACAGAGGUGAAAUUCUUGGACCGUUUGAAGACAAACUACUGCGAAAGCAUUUGCCAAGAAUGUUUUCAUUAAUCAAGAACGAAAGUUAGAGGUUCGAAGGCGAUUAGAUACCGCCCUAGUUCUAACCAUAAACGAUGCCAGCUAGCGAUCUGAGGACGUUUUUUUUGUAGACUCCUCAGGAAGCUUCCGGGAAACCAAAGCGUGUGGGUUCCGGGGGGAAGUAU
rnacentral:rRNA from 1 species